rnacentral:lncRNA from 1 species
AGAGGGAGAAGAGAGAACAGAAAGAGAGCUAAGGGAGAAGAGAGAACAGGAAGAGAGCUGAGGGAGAACGGCAGGUUAAGCGAGAAGGGCAGUCUUAACUGCAAAAAUUUCAUUAAUGAACAGUAACCAGCGCCACAGUGCUUUGGAAGCGCUUCAGGCUUUCAGAAGCACCUGAUAGCUGGCUUUGGCUUUUGGACUGAAAACAGAGGUGCUUAAAAGCAAAGCCCCUCAUUUUGUGGUCAACCAAACACAAAACUCUGCUCAGCUUAAAAGCAAAGCUGAAAUAAGCCCAAACAAACAGGCCCUUAGUUUCUCUCGAUUCAAUGACACAACUUAAACUGAUCCCAUUUUAAUAUAAGGUAACUAAACUUAGCAAGUUGGUGGAGAUUGUCUCUUCCCUAGCGACGGAGGCGGUUGUGCAAUUGGUUGAUUAUGAAGAGGUGGUGAUCUAUGACCCGUUCUUCUAUCUCUAGAGAGGACAGGACCUCAGGUCGGAGGCGGGAUCGUGGGGGUUUGGGAUCGGGCUGAGAAUGAACGGGGGUUUGAAGCUUUAAGCUUAAUUUGGCUUGGGAAUACGUGUGCAAAUGGUUUUUUUGUUUUUUGUUUUUUGGAAUUAAUGAAAUAUUUCAUUAAUGAAAUGGGUAAACCCAUUGGAGGGGCCCAAACAAGCCCAAUUACAAUUAAACUAAGAAAAAUUACCACUCAGCUUAAUCCAUAUGAAAAGAGUAACCUUAAAAAAUUUACAUCAAACCCUAAAAUCAGUAAAAUAUUAACAUAACCGUCACCUAGAAAAGCUCUAGCUACCGCGGUUGCUAGUGACCAAGAGGUCGUGAGAUGUGUCAAAAUGAAGGGAUGAUGACUGAUAAUCCGUUGCCAAGAAAACCUAACCACACAAAUCUUGUCAAAAUGAAAGGAAACGGGGAUGAAAGAGAGAAAUCCACACGACACAAUAGCCUUCUCUUCUCUACCGAAGAAGCUCGAUCCGAAAGGAAAUCAAGGCCACCGAGUUGGGACAGUAGCAGUAACCAAAGAACAAAACCGACGGUGAAGGAGGGGGGGGGGGGGGGG